CACCCCCACUUUCUCUCCUUGCUCCGGCCCUAGAGCGCGGCUUGCGCUGCUCGCCCGGCUCAGCAUCAGGGCUGCGCUGCUGCUGCGGCUGCUUCUCGCGUCCCUCCAGGGCCGCUGCCGCCGGGACAGCGCUAACCAGGUGGCUGGUGCCUUUGCGCACCGCGGACAGCGCCGCAGCAAGAGCAACGAAGCAGCCGCGGACCUACCCGCCGCCGGCCCCCAGUGCUGCAGGGGGCUCUCGACAGGCUCGCCUGGGGGCAGCGGGAGGCUCGCUGGCCUAACCGGGCCCCCCAGUUGUGCUAGGUGGCCAACUGCAGAAAAAUAUAAAAGCCAUUUGGCCCCAUUCUCUUUUCAGCUCCACCCCGGUGAGCCCACUGACUGCAAUUUUGGUGAAAUGGUUCAAAUAAGAGGACAAUGCAGUCCAAUGAAACUGCAAGAAGGUAA